rnacentral:tRNA from 1 species
UUGGCAAACAGUGGCAAUCUAUGUCAAUGAUAAAUAAAGCAAAGUAUUGAUUUUCGGUUGUUACUGUAGGAACUCAUAAUCGCUUGGUCGUUGGUUCAAACCCAACAGGGGCCACCA